UGCCUUAUUAGAAUCUCUGUUUCUGGUUUUGCUAUCCUGUUUGCUACUUUUCUCAGGCAAAUGACCCCUUUGUGGUGACAAAAAUGUUCUGCAGCAACUCUAGCAUACCUUCUGCCAUUAACUACCCACCCGGAAGGGAGCCUCCCCUUCCCACGAAUGGCAGUCGAGGCCUCAAAGCCCACUCUCCGUGGUCCCGUCCAGUUCCAGACCCACGUCUGGGCGGGCUCGGUGAGCGGCGGUACCUCCAGUAGUCAGGGAGUCAGGGUUCUGUCACCUCACGGAAGAAUACUGUUGGUCACGCAGUCGUGUCCGGCUCACGGAAGAAUACUGUUAGGCACGCAGUCGUGUCUGGCUUUUGCAACCCCAUUCACUGAAGCCCAUUCCCUUCUCCAGGGGAUCUUACGACCCAGGGAUCGAGCUGGGUCUCCUGCGUUGCGGGCGGAUUCUUUCCCGUCUGAGCCACCAGGGAAGUCUCGACAGAAGGAGCCUGUGAAAGGACAGCGAGCGCGCUUCAAAAUACAUUUUAGCGUCUACAGAGCAAAUCCUCUUCUUCCUCCUCAAGAAUUUACUUUUUACAAAAUCAGUUAUUCGGAUGAAAAAUAAAUGCACAUGACUCAAACAACCAAAAAAGUUUUUAAAAGUAUAUGGUCUAAAGAAAACGGCAGCCUCCAAAGGGCUCCCACCAGCGAGAACUGCCCAGAGCUGCUGCUGCCCGCAUCUGUCCACGCGGCGAGCCCCAGCUGCGCCUCCCCACCCAGCCUCUGCAGGAGACCCCCCGGUAUCAGGGGGUGAUACAACCGUGAUUCCACUGAACGGGGAGUUAGAGCUGCCACUCAAGCGCUUCAGAUUCGGGGCUUUCCUGGUGGCUCAGUGAGUAAGAAUCCACCUGCCGAUGCAGGGGGCACAAGCUCCAGCCCGAUCCGAGAAGAUCCCACACGCCACACAGCAACUGCACCCCUGUACCGGCCACCGCAGCUGCAAUCUAGGCCCCGGGAGCCGAAACCAUGGAGCCCGCCCGCUCUAGAGCCUGUGCUGUGCUGUAAGAGACGCCGCCGCAGUGAGAGGCCCGUGUACCCCAGCUAGAGAGUAGCCCUGCUCACCCAGCUAGAGAAAGCCGGCUCGCAGCAGGGAGGACCCAGUACGGCCAAAAAUAAACGAAUAAAUAUUAAAUUAUUUAAAAAAUCA
rnacentral:lncRNA from 1 species